UGGGGAGGUAACAGUGCGUGAACGCUCAGAGGUAAACGGGUGGAGUUGAACUGCAAGCUCUGAGAAUUCAGCUGAUGAGUGUGGUUUGAGCUUGGUCAAGUUGGUUGGACUUCGGGGUCUGCGUAGUAGCAGGUCUUUGCCUUCGGGUAGAGAUGCGCGUUGCACUUGUCAAGUGCUGUGCGCCCUGUUUGUUCUUCGGCCUGCUUGUCAGUGCACUUUCUCAGAGUAGUCACCACGACCGGCACUGCCGUUAGGCUGCUUUGGUUAAACCGUUCUCGUAUUGCCUUCGUGGCUUUGCUUGAUCGGGAUGGCAGGUAGCUCGUUGACUUGUUUGUGGCUUGCUGCAAACGUCCGGUCUUCGAGUGUAAUCAGCUGACCUUAGUGGUUCUGUGCGGUGUGUCGGAGACGGCGGCUUGUGGUGUGUGCAUGCGUGCCUAUCCUAUGGACUUGUUCGAGUUUGGUUGUUAUGUUGCCUGUUCAAGCAGGCCUAAUGAUGGCUCGAAUUUGUUCUGUGGGUGGUUGCGUGUGUGGCACUAAAACCAAAGGGCCUACAGUCUGUGGUGUAGGUGGUAGACGAUCCCACCUGACCCCGUCUUUGAAACACGGGACCCAAGACCU
rnacentral:rRNA from 1 species